rnacentral:rRNA from 1 species
UUACCGCGGCUGCUGGCACGGAGUUAGCCGGUGCUUCUUCCUGCGGUACCGUCAAAUCCCGUAGUUAUUCGCUACAGGACUAUUCUUUCCGCACGAAAGGGUUUUACAACCCGAAGGCCUUCAUCACCCACGCGGCGUCGCUGGGUCAGGCUUUCGCCCAUUGCCCAAUAUUCCCCACUGCUGCCUCCUCGUAGGAAGCG